rnacentral:lncRNA from 1 species
AUACAUUACAUGUUCAUGCUUCCUGUACACCAGGCACUGUGCUAAGCACCAUACACUUGCACUCUCUAGGUGGCUCACUAUUGAAAUCCCAGUACCUUGCACUAUGGCUGGCACAUAGCAGGUGUUCAAAAUUUACUACGUAAGCAAAUUUAAGUUGAUCUCCACAACAACCUUUUGAAAUGAGUUUCAUUCUCUCUAUUUUAAGAAGAAGAAAAUUAAAUGUCAGAAAUUUAAAAACUUACCUGAAGUUACUGAGCACAAACAUGGGGAAAAGUAGGAAUCAAAUCCAGGUUUUCACCAUUCUACUAGUGUAUCCUUGCAUAAGGCCUAAAGAUAUGGCCUUUCUGGUAAGGUAGGAAUAGGAGGAGAGCAGUGUUGAUCCCAGAUCAGAAUUUGGAUGACCUGGGUGGAAUCUGAAAGAAAUUUAGAUACGAGGAAAAAGUGGGGUGCUUGUUUUCAAUAACAAUUGACUAUGGGCAAGGCACCUUGCUCACUGGAGUGGGAAGGGUGAGGAUAUCUAUUAAUUUUCAACAACCUCUAUAAGUUUGUUUUAUUAUCUCCACUUUAUAGGUGAGGAAACUAAGGCUUCAGGACAUUAAAUAUUAUACAAUACAAGGCCAUGAGUUCACAAAAGUUGUGUAAGCACAGUUCUGAACUAGGUCUAUCACAUUUCCAGGUCCAUGCUCUUUCUACUGCAUCCUGCUGACAAGAAGGGAAAGUGUGGGAACUGAUGGAGGUUCAGCAGGCUCUGUUGUCAGCCCAACAAAAGCACCAAAGAAGUUUCCUGGCUGACAUUUUACUACAUCAUCACGUACGGCGAACUGGAUUGUGAAUGCCCUUAGAUGCCAUUGGAAGGGAUUUAGAUUUCACUUUCUAAGUAGGCAAUGCGAGUCCAUUCAGAGAUUGUGAAGUGGAAGAAUAUCAUGAUCAGAUCUGUGUGGCUGAUGAAUAGAGACAAAUCUGAUGUCUGGGGUUAUAUUAUUGAGAUUCAAUAAAUGCUAAUUCUAUACUUACUUAUUGAGUGCCUAAUAUGUGCA